GACCCGUCUUGAAACACGGACCAAGGAGUUUUAUAUGAUCGCGAGUCAAAGGGCCUUACGAAACCCCACGGCGCAAUUAAUGUAAAGGUUUACUUUCGUAAACUGAGAUGUGACCUCGUGGCAACACAGAGUGCAACAUCAACCCGUCUAAAGAUGUUCGCAUCUGGGCGGAGUUUGAGCGAUCAUGUAGAGACCCGAAAGAUGGUGAACUAUGCUUGUGCAGGUUGAAGCCAGGGGAAACUCUGGUGGAGGACCGCAGCGGUUCUGACGUGCAAAUCGAUCGUCGGACAUGAGUAUAGGGGCGAAAGACUAAUCGAACCAUCUAGUAGCUGGUUCCCUCCGAAGUUUCCCUCAGGAUAGCUGACAUUUGUGAUUGUAGUUUAACCUGGUAAAGCGAAUGAUUAGAAGUAUUGGGGACGAAAUGUUCUCAACUUAUUCUCAAACUUUAAAUGGGUUCGAGGUGUGUCUUUCUUCAUUGAAGAUGUACUUUGAAUACAAAUGUUUAGUGGGCCAUUUUUGGUAAGCAGAACUGGCGAUGUGGGAUGAACCAAACAUCUGGUUAAGGUGCCUAACAUAACGCUCAUGAGAACCCACAAAAGGUGUUGUUUGAUAAAGACAGCAGGACGGUGGACAUGGAAGUCGUCAUCCGCUAAGGAGUGUGU
rnacentral:rRNA from 1 species